AGAAGCCCCUAAACUGAAGUUUAAACGUUGCCUUGGAAAGCAACCUUGAGGAUACCUUGCAUAAAUGAGUUGAUGUCCAUAGUCAAUUCCUUCGAUGUGGAGACUCAAUCCAGUUGGCAGAUUAAGCACUGUGCUGUUGUCCUCUGAGCAGGAUAGAUCAAACCCAGGAUAGCCACAGUCUGGUUGUUUGUCCUUGAUUCGGAAAGGAAAUCGGAUGUCAGGGCCACGGUUUCCACAUGAUCCUGUGCAGUUCAAGCUUGCUACAUGGCCUGCAAGGAAGACAAUGAAAAAGAAGAACAAACACGUAACCAUUUCUGAUGAAUAAUUCAUCAUCUCCACACUCCUCCUACGAUUUUAUCUGCAUGUGCUGAUAUAGUUUUGGCCUUUCAGAAAACUCAUGGAGUCCUUAGACGGGCGAUUCCUUUACAGAAUUUAUUUACUCCAUCGAUCUAGUGUGAUGCUCGUCCCUUUGACAUUCCUCCACUCACAAACAUGUGGGAUCCAAUUAUUCCGUUUUAUUUAGGGGUGAGCAUAAUUUCAAACGGUUUGGUUUGGAUAAAAAAAUAUAUAUAACAGAAGUUUUUUUAAAAAAAUAUUUAGUUCAAACGGUUUGGUUUGGAUAAAAAAAAUAUAUAACAGAACUAAUUUUUGUUAAUUGUUUUUUGAAUUGAAUCAAAUAAAAGAACCAAAUUAAUUGGUAUUUGUUUUUUUUUGUUUGAGUUAAUGGACCUUUAGUUGAGCAAUUUUGACAAGUUUCAGGGGCACUUGUUUACACCGCCUCAUUAUAUUUUAUAAAAAAAUAUAUUUUUUAAAAUUAAGUUUUUGUGUUUCUGAAUUGUUUUAAUAUGUUAAUAUUACAAAUAAAUUUUUAAAAAUAAAAAAAUUAUUUUGAUAUAUUUCUAAGUAAAAAAAACUUUAAAAAACAAUCACUACCACAAUGUCAAACACUACUUAAUUUAAUGAGUUUUGAGCUUAUAACAUACCUUUAGUUUCUAAUAAGUUUUUUUUAUUUGGUUUGGAUUAAUUUUUUAAAAAAGAUUUAAAAUUGAAACUCAAUUGAAACGUUUUUAAUUUUUCUAACAAAAAAAAAUUAAAAAUUCAAAAAAUUGUUUGGUUAAUUUUUGGUCAAUUUCUAUGAUUAAUGUUCUCAUCCCUAAUAAUAAUAAUCUCUCUAUUUACAUAGUAUUCACAUUGUAUAUGGUAAUAUGUUUAAUUUGGAAACCUAGAAUUAGCCAAAAAAAACUAGAUUCUAUCGUAUGAAUUUUAAUUACAUGAUCGCACUUAUGCCAAAAGACUGUUUUUUUUUUUUUUGUCAAAUUAGCAGAGUAAAUAUAAAAAUUCAAGGGAAUAACACCGUUUGAGAAAGAUUUAACAAAAUAAUUUACUUUCAACUUGUCACGCUUCAAAAGCAUGAUAUUUACUAAAUGUCGUUAUUCCAACACAUGGCAAGUAGUUGUCCUUUAGAAUAGCAACAUUUAGUAAAUGUUGUUAUUCUGAAGCAUGACAAUAUGAAACUCCAAUUUACAGGCUGACUGGUUUGAUUCAGUUAUAUUAAUCGGUUUAUUGUUUCACAUAAAACGAUAAUUUUAUAAUUUUGUUUCUUCCAAAUAUGUUUUAUGAGUUAAAAUAUAUAUCUCUAUCCAAUUUGUAGACUAAAAAAUCUCAAAACGUUAUUGUAAUUGGGCUUAUGAUAAUGAGUGAUUCUAGGUAGUCAGAUGUAAGUUUGACAUAACUAAAUAAGAAUCUACUCCAAACAAAUUACAUGGAUGAUUGUAUUUAUGGACUAGUAAGAUAUAUCUAGACCCAAGAGGAGGUCUAGUCAUGCAACAUUUAAUAAAUGUUGUGUUUUUAAAGCGCAAUAAGGUGAAGUGUGCUAUUUCAUAAAUUGUUUUUGCUUUUGUGUCAUUUCAUCAUUUAUUUUAAUUUGUGUGCUAAUUUCCUAAUUUAUCCUAUGCCAAAAAGGACUUGGAGUUGUGAUGGAUGCAAAAUUCUCAACAAAAAAUAACUAAGAAGCAUAUAAUUCAUCGUCAUUGACACGGGGUGGUUGAGGGGAAAAGUCUUGCUAUGUGAAACUUCGAGUGACGGACCAAUGUUUCCAUCAAUGACUUAAGUGUCUGAGAAGGAAACGAAAAUAAUGGGGCUUCGACAAGUCCUUUAACCUCUCAAGCAGUAUUUAAGUCCUGUUUGUCUACAUGGCCAACUCGCUAUCAGUCGAGAAGGGAGGAAAGUAAAGUAAAGGGCUCUUUCCUGUUGUCUUGCUCGAGAUACCGUGAACGAAACGGUCCAUAUUUUUGUCAUUAGACUAGAGGAGGUUACACGAGAUUGUAGCUCUCCUACGCGAAACUUCACAUGAGGACCCAUUCAUUUAUUUUAUGUUAUUGGGACAAUUGUAUAUUUACAAGACGCGGCACUAGAGUUGACUUGGUUAAAAGUCUGAGUUAAUAUAAUUUUUUAAAAAAUUAUAUUAUAUUUUUAUAUUUUUUAGAUUUGAUUUAUAUUAUUUUGAUUAUUUUUUAUUUUAUCUGAGAUAAUUUAUGAAAUUAUAUUUUUUUUUCAAUUUCAUUCUCAUUCAAAUUUUUAAUUUGUAAGAUUUGUUCCUCGUUAUUUUAAUAAACUUGAGAAAAAUAAAAUAUUAAUAAGUUAAUUUCUAGCUCAUUUUCCAUGACAUAACAAAAUACUAGAAAGUAUUUUCCAAUUUAUUUUUCAUUACACUACCAAACAUCAAAAAAUAAUUCACUUUCCCGGAAUUCGCUUUCCAAAAAAAACUACUUUCCAGCAAACAAACGAAGCCUAAAUGAAUACAAUAUUAAGAUUAAGAGUCAUAUUGUCUUAAAACAUCUAAUGUAUUCUAUAUUUUAUAUUAUAAACUUAUCUUAUCAUUUUGAAAAUGAUUUAGCCAUACUAACAUCUAUACAUAUAUAUAAUACCUCCAUUACAUCCUACACAUUUUUUUAUUUUUACACCACAAAGGUUUUCAAAGAAAAUAAAGACAUAUAAAUGUUACAUUUUAAAAUGAUAAUUCAUAAACAAAAAAUCCUACAUCUAACGAUCUGCAUCAUCUCGUGGUGUAUGUAUUUCAACAAUAACCACAUUAAUUAAUUUACUCAAUAUCUUAGUCAUAUAUUAAUUAUUUUACUCUUAACUUUUAAAAUUUAAUACUUCUAACUUCAAUCAAUAAUUUACAUAAUCUUUUCAAAAUUUAAAUAUCCAGCUAACUCAUCUCGAUUACCAAUAAUUCUAACACUUUCAUAUAAUUACCCACAAAUUUGGUUAUUCUUCCUCGGUUACCAGUAAAUCAAUAAUUCCAUCUAAAUUACCCAUCAUCUAGUUAACUACUUUUGUUUGCCAAUCAAUCUGGUAAUUCCAUAUGAAUUACCUCAUAUCCAGUUAACCUCUUUGUUAACCAAUAAACCGGGUAAUUCUCUUAAUUACCCAAGAAAUUCGGGUAACCCAUUUUGGUUGCCAAAAUCAAUCCGGUAAUUCCAUAUGAAUUACCCAGCAUCCGACUAACCUUUUUUGUUAGCCAAUUAAUAAUUCCGGUAAUUUCACAUAAAUUACCAAUAAUUCUCAUUUGUAAUAAUCACUCAAUUUAUUCAUGUGCUUCAUUCUUUUAACAUCAAUUAAAUAAACAAAUAUGUGGUUGUAUGUGAAAUGAUGAUGUUAUGUUUGAGAAUGACUUUUUAUCUGAAUGAAUUAAAAAACAUUACAUGCUUUGCAUUUCGGCACAUAAGAAAAAUAUUAAUGAACUAAUGAUAUAAUGACAUUUGAUUGAUUUAGGAGUUGUGUCUGGAGCUGGUUAUCAGAUAAGAGGAGUUGGGUUAUCACGAGCAGAAGGUAGGUGAUUUGUCACCUUAUUUUAUAAUUAUUAGUUUUCCUUAAAGAUUUAUGUUGUUUAUUUAAUUAAUGUUAAAAGAAUAAGCAAAUGAAUAAAUUGAGUGAUUAUUACCAAUAAAAAUUAUUGGUAAUUUAUGUGAAAUUACUAGAAUUAUGUAAAAGAUCGCUUCAACUUUUUUAACUUGGUUGCUCUUUCUCAACUAGACAACCACUUCAACUAAUUUCUAGAAAUCAGUUUCGAUAUUUUCACUAUCUUUCCCUUACAACCGAAGGAAGCAUAUCUUGGAAUAUCUCAUGGAUUUGGACUGGAUUGGGUGUUUUGGUUUCUGAUGAGAUGCUCCAUGAAAAAUAUCAGGCUCGCUGGAUGUCGUUGUUUGUGGUAUUGACAGUUGAUGACUUUUUUUUUUUACUUUUCAAAGUUAAUGAUUCUGACAUUUCGAAGGAGGUGGGAAAUUAUCUUCGUCUGUGAAGUAGUGUUGAAUGUUGGAUCAAUAACUCACUGUCUGCUUUGCUACUAUUCCUAUCCGAUGACUCUGACAUUUCAAAGGACGACCAGGUAGGGGUGUUCUCCUUCACCUUUCAUUGCAUUAUCAGUAGCUUCCACUCCGAAAUUCAAUAGUUUUUGUUGGAGAAAAAAGAAAAGGAAAAAAGAAGAAUAGUUUAUGCAAAAUUGCGUAUACACUGUGUAUCACUUCAGCCUUCCCCAUGUUUAGAGGAAUGAACGUCCUUUUUGCUUGCUACAUAGCUUUUCUUUUACAGCUAUUAGUCUUCCAAACUUGCCAUUCUAGCAACUUCACUGCUCAUUGUGCUCCUUCUUCAUGCGGCAAUAUCCAAAACAUAAGCUUCCCUUUCAGACUAGACACUGAUCCACAAAGCUGCGGAAACAAUAAUUAUACUCUGAUUUGCGAGAACAAUAUUGCUACAGUAUUAUAUUUGUAUUCAGGUAAAUACUACGUGCAGGCAAUCGACUACGGUAACUUCACAAUCCGAGUGGUAGAUGCUGGUGUACAUGAUAAUUCCUGCUCCAUCCCUCGUUAUUCUUUGGCACCUGAUGACUUCAGUGACGGAGAUCCAUACACAUGGUAUAACUACAAGCAGGUGCCGCCAGGAGUGAGUGAAAGUUUCGUGUACUACUGGGGCCACUGGUUCUUACCUCCACUAUCACAGCCUAUGAUUUUCAUGAGCUGUGAAAAUACGGUGAAUUCUCCUCUUUAUGUGGACACGGCUCCCUACGGCCUUAAGUAUGGAUCAGGAAAUUAUUCCAACUCUUCUCUUGUGAGUCAUUCGAAUUAUGUGGCUCUUGGGGGCAUGACUGCCUCGGAUUUGAUGGAACUGUGCAGCAUAGAGAAAAUAUUUUUGCUUCCAAAGAAGAGCUACACAUACAAGUCCUUUGAAGAAAUACACAGUGACCUGGCAUACGGGUUUGAGCUUUCAUGGUACAACAUCUACUGUGAAAAUUGCACAAGGGGUUGCUACAUCGACAGCUCAGACCGUCGUCAAUGCAUUAGCAGCUGUAUGUAACACUUGAUGAUUAAGUUGCAUCACUUUGAUUCAUAAGACCAUAUAUAACUUGUGAUUUGAGGUGGUUUCAUAUAUUUUCUCUGGCUUACUUUUCAAUUUUCCUUUUUUUCGGGCAUUAGCACAAUAUUGCACUGUCCCCAGAUCGAUGUUCAUGUACAAAUUCUGUGCAUCCAUUACCUGUGAAUUCUACUAUAGUGGACUGAUUAUGAGAUUCAUUCAUGUUCAUAUUGUAAAAUAUUCUGACUAUAAUGUGGUUGAAGGUAGUUGGACAGAUUCAUUGGUCUUUUGCAAUUUCAGGAUUGACACAGUGAAACGUUUGGUUCAUCUUAACUUGACCAUGGAUACACAUUAAUUAGUUCAAGGCACAUUAUUAAUUAAAUUGUGUGUGCUCUUAUCUAUUUUCUUUCGCAUUUACUGUUGCGUAUACCAUUAGAACUCUUUGUAAACCUAAAUUCUCGACAGAUUUUGGUGAAAGCUUCUGGGAAACACUACUCCUCGCAGUGAUAGGUGCGAAUUCUCUUUCUGCAUCUCACCUUGUUUGUGUAUUCUUAAGUGUUUCUUCAAACGACUUAUUUGUGAAAUAAGGAUUGUUGUUUCUUGAAUAGUAAUUGUAAUUUUGUUCACCAUUUUCUGCAGAUCCCCUAUAUAUCCAUUUUAUUUGGUAAGAGAUUCCAUCAUUUCUUUAGUUUCGCAACAAAUUUCUAGUGGAGACAACAAAUAAGAUCACAAAACUUGAUUGUUUUCUGGAAAUUUCCUACACAGCACUGCUUCAUGGGCCAAAAGUUGUUUGUGGGACUCCAUGUGUGAUUAUAUUUUUGAUCUACAAAUUGCGAAGGAGACAUUUAUCAGCAUAUGAUAUAGUUGAACAAUUCCUACAGGGUCAGAAUAACCUUAUGCCAGUAAGGUAUUCCUACUCAGAUAUCAAGAAGAUUACUAGAGGUUUCAAGGAGAAAUUAGGUGAAGGAGGCUUUGGUACAGUUUACAAAGGAAAGCUUCGCAGUGGACAUUUUGCAGCAGUAAAAUUGUUGGGAAAAUCAAAAGCUAAUGGACAGGAUUUCAUAAAUGAAGUUGCUACCAUAGGAAGGAUUCACCAUACUAACGUGGUGCAGCUAAUUGGUUUUUGCGCUGAAGGAUCAAAGCGAGCUCUUGUAUAUGAUUUCAUGCCUAAUGGAUCUCUUGAUAAACACUUGUUUACUUGAGAAGGAUCAAUCUCUUUAAGCUGGCAAAAACUGCAUCAGAUUUCCCUUGGAGUGGCUCGUGGUAUCGACUAUCUUCAUUUAGACUGUGACAUGCAAAUACUUCAUUUUGAUAUUAAGCCUCACAACAUUCUUCUUGACGAAAAUUUCAGUCCAAAAGUUUCUGACUUCGGGCUCGCUAGGUUGUACCCCACUAAUGGCAGCAUAACAUCUCUUACUGCAGCAAGGGGCACCAUAGGAUACAUGGCUCCUGAACUGUUCUACAAAAACAUUGGACGUGUCUCCUAUAAAGCUGAUGUAUAUAGCUUUGGAAUGCUGCUAUUGGAAAUGGCAGGCAAAAGGAAGAAUGUAAACGCAUUGGCAGAAAAUUCAAGUCAAAUCUACUGGCCAUAUUGGGUUCAUGACCAAGUAUCUGAUGGAAAGGCCAUAGAAAUCGGAGACGAUGCCACGGAGGAAGAACGUAAGAUCGUCAAGAAGAUGAUUAUGGUUGGAUUGUGGUGUAUACAAAUGAAACCCAUGGAGCGGCCUACAAUGAAGAAUGUUGUGGAGAUGCUUGAAGGAGAUUUGGAAAACUUGCAAUUGCCUCCUAAGCCUGUCUUCAAUCUAGAUGUGACGCCACCAAACAUUGAAGGAGAGUCAUCAUCGUUGUCAGGUGAUUCUACCGCAUCAACCAGUUUGAUUGAAAAUGCAUACUAAGUUAUAUGAUGUGGAAUGCUCUGCUUACAUGCAGGGAAAAUGAUAGAAUAAUGGUGCUUUCGGACUUGGUUGUGAUGAUUUAGUCUGCAACACAUUAUGAUAAUUUGCAAUACUUCCUUUUAUCUGAUUUGUGUUUAGCUAAUUUAGAGUUCAAGCUGCGGCUUGUUUCUUCGGUGUGGUCUAUAUAAUCAUCAUACAAAGAUGUUCUGUAUUGUGUUUAACUAUCAGAUUUCCACUCUGUUUGGCAAUCAUAGCAGUUGGCGAGGAUGGAACAUCCUCCAUGAUAACUGUUCCAUGUUCUACAUAUUAAUUAUCCUAUAUUUUUCUCCAACAGAAUAAUAUUUUGGCUACAAAUUAACAAGAGACUAUCACAGGGAUUAUAUAAACAAGUUUAUGCAUGAAAAGACGAGUCUCUAUUUAUAGGUAGCCACUACAAGUAGCUUCGGAGACCACAAAUACAAGUCAAGUCUCUCUAGUAAUCCUUCCACUAUAAGUAGCUUCGGAGAUAGAAAAUAGCGAUUUAUUUGCUAUCAUAGGGAUGAUUCUGAACAGAGGGGCUUAAUUUCAUUUUCUUCCACCAACAAUGCCUUCGUGUCAAUGUUCAGCCCCAUGAUAAUCGAUCUAGCGUCACCAUUUGCACAUUACCAUAUCUUGCAUAAGCCACGAGGAACCAAUCACAACAAAACAGGAUUGAAAACCAUGACCAUAACGGGUGCUGUGAAAUGAAUAUUGAAACAGAUGGGUGAAUUUGAUGCAGAAAAGUAGAGAGGAGACAAUGAAGCUUGCUUACCGGUCAUGGCAUUUCACCAGGGAGCUCUGCUUCUUCAAAAAUGCUCAACUGUGCUCAACAACCUUUCAGGAUCUGCUUCAAUUUUCUCAAGAGAAUGGGAAACAGUGAACGGGAUCCUCGUUAGCUGCGGGCAAUCACCCACAGUAAUUUCCUCAAGAGAAUUGCAUAGAAGACUUCCAGAAUAAAUGCUAUUCAAAUUAUGACAUUUGUUCUGCGAGAUAUUCCCACUUUAUCAGGAUGAAAAUCAUCCCACAAAUCAUCAAGAAUGAUGACAUGGUUUUGUAUCACACUCAAUGCUGUCCAUAGCUCCCCAGCUCUACUCGUCACAUCUUUUCCUCUCGGAAGACAUAAACCAAAAGCUUCGGCAAUGAGAUCCUGCGAGGCAUGAAUGCUAAAUUUCUGUUCAUAUGCUGUGUGAUGAAGGUGUUGCUUUCUGUGACAUAGUAAUCCAACAAACAUGAAAAAAAAAAAUGUCUGGUUUCUCUUGAAGCUGAUUAUGGAUAUGUGCAGCCAAAGUUGUCUUUCCCACUCCCCCAUCCCGUACAUGCCAAUGCAUGAGACCUCACCAUUCAACAACAAGACCAGACAUCCUUCAUAUUUCUUUCAAUAGCUUGACCCACUAGCUUCGUUGUCGGGACUACAUAUCUUUUAGUCCUACGUCGCUUAUGUACAGGCCUUUUAGAAUAGCUUACCGUGUCAAUUCUCAAGUCAUGUUCUCUAUAUAAACUCUUAACAAAACAUCCCUCGUUGAUGAGGAUGAGAUGUUAUUCAAGAUCAUUUCAAAUGCCUGACAUGUUUUCUCUGUUCUCUGUCCAGGCUCGGGUUCAUCUGGCACAAGUACAACAUGAGCUCUAGGUUCCUCAACAAUCUCGGUCUCCCCCGUCAAGAACUGCUCUGUUGAUCACCCCAUCUUCAUCACUUUCAAAAGAAACAUGCAAUAAUUUUGCUAACUUUGAGUUUCUAUCGUCAAAAUUCACUACAAAUCACUUCUUUUCAUUGCACCAUUGGCUUCCCAGCUGCAAAUUCAAGUACCCUUUUUAUAUAUAUAAAAUCAUCAUUUUUUUGGGCUAAAAACAACAAGUUAAUAACAGGUUUAUGUAUAUCGACAACGUCAAUUUAUUUUAUUUAUUUAUUUAAAAUUAAUACUUUUUGGUAUUUAAUUUUUUUUAUCUAUUUAUUUGCUUAAAAAUAAAAAAUUUGUGUUUUUAAAUUAUUUUAAUGUGAUGAUAUCUAAAAUAAUUUUUAAAAAAUAAAAUAAAUAUUAUUUAAUAUAUUUUUGAAUAAAAAAACACUUUAAAAAAUAACCACAACCAUACUUUCAAAUACACCGUUAAUUAUUUUGACAUUUAAAAAUUACAAUCUAAACUGAACUUGUUUGUCAUUCAAAUUUAAAAUUUUUAUUUUGUUUGGAAUUAAUAUAUUAAUAAUAAAAAUAAUUUUUUAAAAAUAAAAUAAAAAAAAUCAUUUUAAUAUAUUUUUAAAUUAAAAAAAUUCUGAAAUAUUAAUUUUUAUCAAACUCACAAGCACUCCUUACAUAUUUACUAUUAGGUAAAGGUUCCGAUACCAAAAUACAAAACAGUCCCUAGAAAUCAUAAAAUCCUAAUUUCAUCCCCGGAAUGAUAGCAAAUGGUUUUGAUAGCUUUGCCAAACCUUAAAUAUUAAAAAUAUUUCACACCGUAUAAGAUUCCUUACAUUUACUAUUAGGAAAAUACACGCUGCAAUUACAACUGAAGAUGCAUGGAUUUUGGAGAGAGGGUACGAACGCCUUCUUGUCAAUGUGCAGCCCCAUGAUCAUCGAUCUAGCGUCACCAUUUACACAUUACCAUACCUUGCAGAAGCCACGAGGAAACAAUCACAACCAAACAGGAUUGGAAACCGUGACCAUAAUGGGUGCUGUGAAAUGAAUAUUGAAACAGAGGAGAAAAUGAAGCUUGCUUACCGGUCAUGGCAUUUCACCAGAGAGCUCUGCUUCUAACUGUGAAAUGCGUCUUCUUGUGGGUAAGAGGCAAGGUCUUCAAACAUGCUCAACUGUGUUCAACAAACUUUCAGAAUCUACUUCAAUUUUCUUAAGAGAAUGGGAAAUAGCGAACGGGAUCCUCGUUAGCUGCGGGCAAUUACCCACUGUAAUUUCUUCGAGAGAAGUGCAUUGAAGUCUUCGAGAAUAAAUGCUUUUCAAAUUUGGUAAUUUCUUCAAUUUAUCAAAACUACGAAAAGGAGAGGAAUGCUCCUCUCCAGGCACCAAAACUUCACAACUUCCCAUUAUCUCUCGCAUGUUGUAACAAUCUUCGACUACAAUCACUUCCAAUCGGAGUGUAGACAAAAACCGUGGGAGCAGCACCUUUAUCCUAUGACACUUAUGUAUCACCAUCUCUCUGAGAUCGAAAAAGACACCAACAGUACCUAGCUUUGAAGGUACUUCAAAAGGGGUUUCUAAGAUUAUCAAACCAUCAAGGUGUAGAAUCUCAAGCCCAUAUGAUGGACAUAAGCUUCUCAUGUUUUGACAACUAACAAAAACUACUUUUGCCCAUAUCAAACCACCUGUUGUUUUGCCCCUCACUACUUCCACCAUUUGUGCUCCACUGGAUCAGUCUGCAAUUCCAUUGCCUGCCUCUGCCCCAACUCCGCUGAUUUCCAAUCACCAUCCUAUGACUACUCGUGCAAAGUAUGGCAUCAGUAAGCCUCGUGCUCUUUGUGCCAGUAAUUAUCCCUUGCCUCAAAAAUAUGUUGCACUACUUAUCUCCUCCAUCCCUCGUGAACCUUCAUCUUUCAAAGCUGCCAGCCUUGAUUCACAUUGGAUUUCUGCAAUGACAGAUGAGUAUCGUGCACUCCUUGAUAAUCAGACGUGGUCUUUAGUGCCUCGUACAUCCUCUAUGAACGUUGUCGGCUGCCGUUGGGUUUACAAAAUCAAAGAACAUGCUGAUGGUUCCAUUGAACGCUAUAAAGCGCGUCUUGUCGCUAAAGGCUUCAAUCAAGAGUAGGGUGUUGAUUUUACAAACACUUUCAGUCCAGUUGCUAAAGCAACAAUAGUUCGUCUACUUCUCUCAAUUGGUCUCUCUCGUUAAUGGAGUAUUCGGCAGCUUGACGUUAAAAACGCUUUUCUACAUGGUGCUUUAACUGAAGAGGUUUUUAUGUCUCAACCUCUGGUUUUAUCCACUCUUCUUUUCCUAACCAUUUGCAACUUCACCGCUCCAUUUAUGGUUUAUGUCAAGCACCGCGUGUGUGGUUCCAGAGUUUUAGUAAUGCCUUAAUUUCUCUUGGCUUUAAAUCUAGCAAGGCUGAUCAUUCUCUUUUUACAUAUCAUUCAUCUACUGGUACAGUGUUGCUGCUUGUCUACAUCGACGAUAUUAUUAUUAUGGGUUCUACAGAUUCUCUUAUUAAUCACUUGUCACUAAGCUCUCUCAACGCUUCCAUAUGAAAGAUCUUGGUGACCUUCAUUAUUUCCUUGGUCUUGAAGUUCAUCGUACCCCCACUCAUUUUCGACUCACGCAAACUAAGUAUCUGCUGUCUAUAUUUAAGUCUUCCAGCAUGCUUGACUAUAAACCUCAAUCUACUCUUGUCGUCUCUGGACGCAAACUUUCCAUGUCUGAUGGCCUUUUAUUAUCUGAUCCUCAUGAAUAUCGUCGUCUUGUGGGAGCUCUUCAAUACCUUACAUUUACACGACCGAAUAUAUCUUAUUAUGUUCAACAAGUUUGCCAAUUCAUGCACUCUCCACGUGAUGCUCAUCUCCAAGCUGUUAAACGAAUUUUACGAUACCUAAGAGGUACAAUUGGUUCUGGUAUUUGCUUCUCUGCCAACUUGUAUCCCACUUUAUCCUGCUUUCUUGAUGCCGAUUGGGCAGGAUGUCCUGAUACUCAUCGCUCCACCAUGGGCCACUGUGUUUUUCUUGGCUCUCAUUUAAUCUCCUGGAGUGCCAAGAAACAAUUAACCGUUGCACUCUCUAGCACAGAAUCUGAAUAUAAAGCUCUUACUCAUGCUUCUGCAGAUCUCUUGUGGAUUUCUUAUGUUCUUCGGGACAUUGGUUUUCACAACCUCCCUGCCUUGCACACUCUACUCUGACAACAUGGGUGCUACUCAAUUGGCCCACAAUCCUGUUUUCCAUGCCCGCACCAAACACAUUGAGCUUUCUUAUCAUUUCACACGUGAACUUGUCUCCACUGGUUUCCUUAAAGUCUCCUUUGUUCGCUCAACGAAUCAACUUGCUGAUCUCUUUAACAAAGGAUUAUCCUUGACUACAUUUUGCUUCUUUCGUGACAAGUUAUUGUGGCAUCCUCUCCAUCAACUUGCGGGGGCAUUAUAGAAUACAAGAUAUUGACAGAUAUUGUAACAGAUUGCAUAGCUAUAAUCAAGGCUUUUGAAUACAUUCUUAGCUAAUGUUGAGGCUAUAAAGUAGGCAAGUGAUAUGCUAUUGUAUAACUAAUUGCAUAUUUACAGGGCUUUGUAAAAUAACUAUAAAUACAUAGAAUCAACUAUUAAAGGUUGAGCCAUUCUUCUACAAUUUUUUCGCAUUCUUUCUUUAUUGAUCAGAAAGAUCUAGAAUUUGAACUGCCAUGGUUUAUAAUUAUUUUUGGAGAUCUGAAAGUAUGAAUCCUUACCAGUUGCGGUGACAAACUACUGUUUAUUGGGAGAAAUGGCCAAUUAGAGCUAGCCAUAUUUACUUGAAUGAUUCUUGAACUUUUCUUGGGCCAUCUGACAGCCUAUGAUAGAUUUCCUAAAAUUUAUUUAUGCGGCCUUCUGUCUCAAAGAAUUUGGCAAGAAACGAUCGGUAGAAAUUUAUAAAAAAUUUACUUUUUAAAAUUUGAUUUAUAGUUUAAAUAGAUGGUAUUAAACUUGGCUAGCUGGAUUCAUCAACUUAGAAUCUAGUUAAAUUCAACAAUUUAUAAAAAAUCUAGUUAUCGUCUAAAACUUGGCUUAAACUAGGUUAAAAAAAUUAAAUAAAAAUUGAUUUAAUCAAAUUAAAAAUCAAGUAAAUUAACUCGCAAUUCAAUCAUCUUAAUUAAAAUUUAAUUUAAUUAUUAAAGUUGUUUUUCUUAAAGUAAUGACAUUUCUUUUUUUUUAAAAUUAUGAAAUAAUUCACCCGAGUAAACUUUGUUUUUCUUAAAACAAUGACAUUAUAUUUUCGUUUAAUUUUUUUUAAAUAGUGAAAUAAUUCACUCGAGUAAACUUUGAUUUAAAAUUGAAAAUCUUGAAAUAAUUAACUUGAAAUUAAUUAUUAGUACUCUCAUUCAAUUCUCAAUUAUAAUCAUGGCACAUGUAACUGUUUUUAUUAUAUAAAGGCUUAUUUAUUUUUAUGUUUUAAAAGGAUUUUUUUUUAAAAAAAAUUAUUUUUAAUUAAUUUUUUUUUGAUAAUUUUAAAUUGUUUUAAUGUGUUAAUAUCAAAACUAAAUUUUAAAAACUAAAAAAUAUUAUUUCGAUACAACACAGUUAGCAUACUCUCAAACAUACAAAGUAUUUUGUCAAAAAACUUCACAUAAAAUCAGGACAACACACAAGCAAUUCAUUCCAUCAAUCUGGAAUUGCAUUACAAAAACGUGAAAAAAAAUAAAAUCUGGAGUUAACUCAGAAUCUACUAUUAUAAGUAAUUAAGUAUACAUGCAUCAGCCAGCGUUAAUUUGAUUCCAAUCACACCUUAGAAUCCAACCUCUGUGCUUCUUUUCCUGCGCAAUCCUUCAGCACAGCUCGGGGUGGAAGGACUUUCUUGAAGAUGGAUAAGAAACAGUUCACUUCGAGAUCAAGCUCGUCAUCGUCAUCGUCAUCCAUCUUAGCCUUCUCCUCUUCCAUUCUCUUCAAUUUAUCGUUGUGUAAUCUUCUCAGAACAUAUGCUUCAGCUAGACAGUACCCAUGAGUUGCCAUGGCCCAAAAACAUGUUCCAGGUGUCUUUGUUGAGAGACCAGUGGAAAUGAACUAGGGUUGAUGAUGAGCUGAGAGGCUCUGUUUAGGUCAUUUUAUAAGGGUCUGUCGGCUUGGGGAGGAAGGAAGUCGUGUGAUGUUCAGUGGUCCAAAUGGAACUUGAGAGUGAAAUAUUUGUAAUUUUUUGGUGGACAAUGUCAUGGCAGCGUAGAAACUUUGUGGAAAUGGACAAUUAAAAAAACAGGGGAUGUAAGAAACCCUUGUUUUUAGUUAUUAGUGAUUAUGUGUGCAACAUCCGGAAUUUUGCAUUGAAAGAAAGGAAGAAAUUAUGUAGAGGAAACACACCCUUGGACUUGUAAAUGUUAUACAUACUUAAUACAUGAACUCCUAACCAGUUACCGAAGGUAACCUCAACUUAUAAUUACUCUGUUUUAGAGAAAGCUGCCAACUCUUGUUGAAGCCAUUGCAUGCAUUCUUAUGAACUUGGACUGGGCUUUCCACUAUUGCAAUCUUGGGCUGCAAGCUCUAGGAUGCUUCUAACAGACACACAAUAAUGGGAGAAAUGAGUAUGUAGCUCUUGAAGACAAAAUGUCAAAUCUUUCAUGUGGUAAGGGUGAUCGAUGUUUGUUCUUCGAAGAUCAUGCAGUUAUUGAUCCUGUCUUGCAUCUUAAACUUUUUCGACGACGAGCUUGCGUGCGAGAUUCAGAGGAAGAUUGAUGAAGUUGGACCGGGCUUUCCACGAUUGCAAUCUUGGGCUUCUUCUAGGUUUGUAAUUCCAUUGUAAUCGUUCAAGUUGGCCAGGACAAAGACACAAUCAUUGAAGAAAUAAGUGUGUAGCACUUGAAGAUUAAAUGAAGAAUCUUUCAUUUUGUAGGGGUGAUCGUAGUUUGUUCUUUGAAGAUGAUGCAAUUAUUGAUUUGGUCUUGCAUCUUGAUGUCGGUAAAUGAUUUUUUUGUUUUUCCAACCAAUAUAACGAUAAAAUUUGGAAUCACCGACAAAAAAAAAGCCGACGCACAUAUUCCGUCAAUAAUAUAGUCGGUAAAUAAUUUACCGAUGAACUCCUAAUCACACACCGACAUAAUAUUUUCAUCGGUAAAACUUCGAAAUCUUGUAGUGUGAAUAUGACUUGCUAAGAAAUGCUGUUUAUAACGAGAGAGACUCUUUCAGAGAGUUGGAGAAUGAGUUUUCUCAUGAGCUAGAUGUUGUGUUUUUCAUAAAGAAAGUGAAAAAAUCCGAAGCUAUUGUUGUAUUGAUACAACACCAUUGUUGAGCACUUUCACCUUAUAAAUUAUUUAUUAGAGAUUUUGAGCAGUUGGAGUAUUGGGAGAUUUGUUAUUAUCUCAUGUUCUGAAGUUUCAAGUCGUUAUCCAUUAAAAGAAUUUUUGGUGACUCUUACUAGCUUUCCACUAAUAAAGUCAAGAAAACUUCAUGGUUGAAUUAAGCUUUUUGAAACUUCGAUCUUGGAUCGGUGGAGUGAUAGGCUUUGUGAGAGCGAGCCCGUUUAUAGGAUUUGUAAAUACGUGUUGUUACUUUCAAUAUAUAUAUAUAUAUAUAUAUAUAUAUAUAUAUAUAUAUAUAUAUAUAUAAGUUACAUUUAUGAAAUGAUUAUUUUAUAUUUAUAGUAAUGUUAGAUCUUAACUUGUAUUGGUGUAAAUAUUUUAUAUGACAUAUAAUUGGUUAAUUAUUGAUUUUAUUCUUAAAUAUAUUUGGAUAAAUGAUUUAAUAACUAAAUAAAUCUUAAUUUCAUUAUAUUAUCUUCUUAGCCAUAAGUUUUUUUUUUUUUUUUUUAUGAUGAGUAUAAUAAAUACUCAUAUAAAAUAAUUAUAUUAUCAUUUUUUUUUUACCUUAAAAACACCUAAAAAAGAUCUAAAAAAGAUCUGAGCUUUGGUAGAAUUUUUGUUUUGGUUGGAUUUUAGGUUUUGGGGUGUUUUAUUGGGUUUUUGGUGGCAAUGGAUUGACUUAACAAGGUCUCUAGAGUUUUUUCUAGGUGUCUUGGGUAAAAAAUAAGUUGAAAAUUGAUUUUUAGGUAAAAAAAUAAAGGACCAUAUUUUUCCGGCCAUCAUAAUAGCCGAAUUCUAGGUUGCGCAAACGACGCAUCAUUGUUUUAUAUACUCGAGGCAUUAUAAUUUUUUUUCUAAAUAAAUGCUCGCGCAUUAGCCGUUGUUUUAUUGGGUCAGAUGUUAGGUGUAGCUUGCUUGGCCCAACAGUGCCUAUCCUGAUUUUUUUUUUUUUUUAGUUUUGUGUGUAUUUUAUCAAAUAAAUUUUUGGUUUAUAUUUUAAUUAGAUUGUGAUUAAUUUUAAAUGAUAUUGAGUAUAUUUAAUUUUUAAAGAGGUAAGUAUGAUUCAUCUGUGAUUUUUUCUUAAUUUUAUAUAGAUUAAAUUUGUUUUUUAAUAUUGUUUUUUUAAUAAGAUUUUUUAUAUGUGCAACCUUACAUUGUUUUUUUAAUUAUUAUUCAAAAAUUUUUAUGUGUGUAUCAGUUUCUAUUACAAAUUUAGUUUAAUAGAGAGGUUCAUUAAACACAAUCAUAUAAAUUACCCAUAUUGCAAUUACCCAAAUUUAUGUAUAGUGCUUUUGUUCCUAUAACCUAGGUCAUUGUUUAAAAAGUUAGUCUUAUUUUUUUAUAUUUAUUUUUUUCUAUAUAAUUAUUCUAUUUUCUUUUAAUUUUUACUUUAUUAACAAAUAAAAUUAUUGAGAUGAUUUGAAAAUAUUAUAAAGAUAUAGUUAUAUAAUAUUGACAAAUAUUUAUCUUUUGUAUUGAGUCAUUGUUUUUUUUCUCGCUUUAUUUACUGUCAACAUCAUUAAAUUAACUAAUUUUAUUAAAUUUAUUAGAGCAAAUUACCUAUAUAUUAUUUUAAAAAUAAUAUUUUUAUAGUAAUUGGUACUUGUGGUGCGACCCGCCUAACUAGUCUUACCUGUAAACAUAUCAUGUUAUGCCAUCCAUGUCACAAACUCAUUUAAAGCUUGACGCAUUGGUCAAUUAUUUUAUAUUUCAGUGUUUUGUGGCAUUAACAAUGAAGUUAGUGAUUGAAGCAUUAGUCCACACUCUUAGUGUCUUUCAUGGCGAAGACUUCCCCCCCAUGCGCACUCAGGUCAAUGAUGAACAAUUGUAGGGUUCUUGGUUAUUACGCAAUAUUUUUUUUUGGUCACCAAACCUGACCUUCGAAGAUGUCAUUAAAAGUGCCGCCACAUCUUUUUCUUUAUGGUAUGGGUGGCGUGAUGACUUAUGAUCGUUGGAUUUUGGUGGAUUGUUCUCAUAAUUUUUUAUAUCUUUUUUUUAUUUCAGUUUUUAUUCUAUUAAUUUUUUAUUUGAUACUUUUAUUUAAAAUUUUAAUCGCUUUCAAUAAAGCUUGUCGGUGGUAAAACACACUCCGAAGCAACCUGUGGUUCAAACUUCAACGACAAAAAUAUGAGCUCUUUCUUUUCUGUUCGUUUCUGUGGUCCACCACCUUUAAUUUCUUUCAUGGCAAGACUUUUCCCCUAUGAGCAAGCAGGUCAAUGACGAAGAAUUGUAGGGUUCUUGGUUAUUUCUUCUGGUCCAGAAGUCUCUGCCGUGUAACAAUCUAUGGGUAGAAAUUAAUGGCAAAGGGAAGAGAUGAAAGAAGAAGGACCUUCAAAAUCCUUCUUUCCUCCCUGCAAUUCCUUCACAAUUAUGUGUUACAUUGAUUUUCUUCGCAUUUGAAGUGAGUUAGAGUACUGGAUGUUAAAUAAUAUUUAUGUAGUCUUAUUUAUUAAGGAUAGAAUAAUACUUUAAGUUUAAUUUAUAUAUAUUUUAAUUGUAUUUAGGUUAUAACUAUACAAUCAUAAUAUACAAAUUAUUCAAAAUUUUAAUAUUUUUUUAUGUGUUUGAUUUUAAUUAUUUCAACACUAAAUUGCUUAAAUAUGAUGAAUAAAGGGUUGGAUUUGUAAAAUUAUUUACACAUUUUCUGCUGUAUCAUCGACGUUCUUCCUUCCUCCAACCAUUUCCAGCACUAACAUACCAAAGCUGUAAACAUCUGAUUUACAGGAAACGUUCCCGAAGUUCCUCGAGAACACUUGUAUCCUUGGAACACAACUUAGCCAUCCCAAAAUCGGCGAUUUUGGGAAUGAUUUAGUUGUCAAGCAGGAUAUUCUGUGGUUUGAUAUCAAAAUGGAGGAUUCUUUGAUCACACCCCUGGUGAAGAUAUUCAAUCCCCUUGGCUAUGCCUAUAGCAAUUAUUCUUUAUAUAUAUAUAUAUAUAUAUAUAUAUAUAUAUAGAGUAAUUGGCUUUUUUUGUUUCAUUGUUUUUAUAUUCAUUUUUUUUUCUUUUUAUACAAUUAUUAUAUUCGUAUUUAAUUUUUAUUUUACUAACAAAUAAGAUCAAUGAGAUAUUUUAAAAAUAUUAUAAAGAUAUUGUUUUAUAAUAUUGACAAACAUUUAUUUUUUAUAUUGAAUCAUUAUUUUUUCCCGUUUUAUUUAUUAUAAAAAUAAAAUAUACUUCCAUAAUAUUUAUAAUUAUUCUAUUAUCAUUGAAUCAUGCUAAAAAUAAUUGGCCCGGGACGGCGCGGCAUCCUAACUAGUCUUAUCUAUAAACCUAUCAUGUUAUGCCACAUACUCAUUUAAAGCUUGAUACAUUGGUCAAUUAUUUUAUACUGAUUGGGACGUUAAAGAGCCGGUCAAUUAUUUUAUAUUUCAGUGUUUUGUGACAUUAGCAAUGAAGUUACUUAUUGUAUUUUAAAAAUAUUUUUAAAAUUUUUAAAAUUUGUUAAAUUUAUUUAUUAAAAAAAUUAAUAUAUUUAGAUUAUUUUAAUAUAUUGAUAUAAAAAAUAAUUUUUAAAAAUUAAAACAAAAUUAUUAUUUUAAAAUAUUUUUAAAUAAAAAUAUUUUAAAAAAUAACUAUAAUUAUACUUUCAAAUAAAUUCUUGCUUUCAUGACGAAGACAUUUCCCCGUGCGCACCCAAGUUAAUAAUGAUGAAGAAUUGUAGGGCUCUGGGUUAUUACGCGUUAACGAGUUGUUGGUGUCCCCAACAUGGGAGAUGCCACCAUAUCUUUUUCUUUUUCUCUUUUAAAGUUGUGAGCGUGAUAACAUGUGAUUAUUGAAUUGUCGCUUAUUAUUUUUUAUAUUUUAUUUUUAAUUUUAUUUUUAUAUUUUAUAUCAACAUUUUAUUUAUUUUCAAAUUUAUUUUUCAAUUAUAUAUUUUUUUAUUUUUUUAUUUCAGUUUUUAUUCUAUUAAUUUUAAAUUUUUUUAUUUGAUACUUUUAUUUGAAACUUUAAUAACUUUUAAUAAAGUUUGUCGGUGGUCAGAGACACUCCGACGCAACCUGUGGUUCAACGACAAAAUAUAUGGUCUUUCUUUCCUAUUCUUUUCCGUGGUCCGCUACCUUUAAUUUCUUUCAUAGUUGAUCUAUCCCCAUGCUCACUCAGGUCCAUAAAGUUUGGCUUUUCCCUUUUUCAUAAAAAUACAUAUUUCAUCUUAGAAAAAGAUAAAAAAUAAAUAAAGCAUGCAUUCGGGGUAUUUUUUUUCCUUUUACGCUGAUCUUUUGUAAUUAUCAUGAUAAUGAGGGAUAUUUAUGUACUUUUACGUUGAAUUUUUGGUUUUUUAAUUAAGACCAUGUUUGUUUCCCGGAAAAUAGUUUCCGGGAAACCAUUUUUUAAAUCUUCUUGUGUUUGUUUGUCAUUAGAAAAGUUGAUCAACGGAAAAUACUUUCUAAUUAAUGGAAAGCACUUUCCAGUCAAAGAAAAAUUUGGCUUGGUUUUUAGAAAAGUGUUUUCCCUUUAACUGUGUUUGUUUUCUGGAAAGUGGUUUCCAGGAAAUCACUUUCCAAACUUUCUUGUGUUUAUUUACCAUUAGGAAAGUUGGUCAAUGAAAAACACUUUUUAGUAAAAGAAAAAUUUGACUUGGUUUUCAGGAAAGUGUUUUCCUGAAAAAUUUGGGCGGAAAACACUUUCCGGAAGUUGUGAAAAAUUUAAAAAUAUCAUUAUUUGCUGAUUAUAUCAAAUUUGAUCCUCAAACUUUUGAUUGCUAUAUAUAUUUUGUUCUGAAUGUUUAUUUUUCAAUUUCAUCUCUUAAAAUUUUAUUUUUAUAUUAACUUUGGUCUUUAUUUUUAUAAUUGUUAUUUGCUUUUUUCUUAUCAUUUUUUUAUUGAAAUUUUUUAUCUAUCAAAUUUGGUCCUCAUUCUUUUGAUUGUUACUUAUUUUAUUUGAAAUAAUUUAUGAAAUAUUGAUUAUUAUUAUUUUAAUUUCUUCAUCUUUCAUUUGUUUUUAAUUUUUUAGAUUUGAUCUCUAUUAUUUUGAUUAUUAUUUAUUUUAUUUGAGAUAAUUUAUAAAAUUAUAUAUUUUUUUCAAUUUUAUUCUCACUCAACUUUUUAAUUUGUAAGAUUUGUUCCUCAUUAUUUUAAUAAACUUGAGAAAAAUAAAAUAUUAAUACGUUAUUUUCCAGCUUAUUUUCCAUGACAUAACCAAACACUGGAAAAUGUUUUCCAACUUAUUUUCCAUUACACUACAAAAUAUCAGAAAAUACUUUCUCGGAAUUCACUUUCCAAAAAAAAACUACUUUCCAGCAAACAAACGAGGCAUAAAGAAAGUUGAUGGUAUGUGUUCAUUAUGCACUAAUAAAUUGAUAGGGUCCGCGCCAUUUUGAAUAACGUGUGUGAUAUUUUUUGGUAGCUAAACUUGACCUUCCAACGUGUCUUUGAAAGUGGCAUCAUGUCCUAUUUUUUAUGGUGUGGCGGGUGAUAACAUAUAGUUGUUAGAUUGUUGUCGAUUGUCCUCUUUGUUAUGUAUUUUAGUUUUAGUUCUUAUUCUUUUGAUUUUUUAUUUCGUUUUUAUUUUUUAUAUAAAUAUUUUAUUUAUUUUCAAUUUAAUAUUUUAAUUAUAAUUUGUUAUAUGUAUUUCUUUUAUUUCAAUCCCUUUUUUUAUUUUUUUAUUUUUUUAUUAAAAUGUUUUUUGAUUUCAAAACUUUUUUUAAGAGCUAAGACAUACUCCGCAGCAAGCCAGCAACCCGUGCUUCAACGACAAAAAUAUGAGCUCUUUUUUUUUUUUUUUGUGUCAUUGGUUCUCGAGCCACAAAACAAAGAAUCUUUGUCCUUAUUGAAGCAUUGGUCCACCACUCUUAAAGUUUUUCACAGCAAGACUUUUCCCGCAUGCACCCUCAGGUUAAAGAUGAAGAAUAUUUGUAGGGUUCUUGGUUAUUCCUUCUUGUCGAGAAGCUUGUGCCUUGUAGCAAUCUAUCACGGUAUUACAAGGAUGAAAGAAGAAGGAUUAAUGCCAACCUUUUCAUCUCGUUGUUGAUCAACAAGGAAGGAACUUGAUAGAAAUAGACCCUUGAGAUUACUAUCCUAUUCAUCAAAAUCCUUCUAUCCUCCCUGCAAUUCCUUCAAAAUUAUGAGUUACAUUGAUUUUCUUCGCAAUUGAAGUAAGUUAGACUGGAUUGCCUAAAUAUGAUUAAUAAAGGGUUGGAUUUGCACAAUUAUUUACACAGUUUAAUUUGUUGAUUUGAUACAUCAUAAACUGUGAAUUGACAGAAAAGAAGAAGAAGCUAUCUCACAGGUCACAACAAUUUCCUUCAUUAUUGCUCACUAAUAUGUUAUUACUGAAAAGAGUAAAUUUCAGAUCACUCUAUUUCUGAGAUGGCUGCCAACUCUUGGUGAAGACGUCUCGCUGGCAUGCGGCCUGCGCUGGUUCUCUUAGAGACAGAGGAGCUAAAAGGAUCAGGAGGCUUUGUUAAGUUUUCUCCUUCCCCUUCAAGCAUCUGGACAACAGUUUUCAUGGAAGGACGCUCUGCUGGGUUCCACUGAAUGCACCAUAGCCCCACAAUUGCUAGUUUCUUCGCAAUUCUAGCAUCUUCUUCUCCAUCGAUAUGAAACCGCAGGUCUUCUUCCUUUUCUAAGAGAUUAUAAAUCCAUUCCGGGAAGUAUAUCUGGUCGCCAUUUUCUGCUGUAUCAUCGACGUUCUUCCUUCCUCCAACCAUUUCCAACACUAACAUGCCAAAGCUGUAAACAUCUGAUUUAUAGGAAACACUCCCGAAGUUCCUCGAGAACACUUCUGGGGCAAUGUAGCCAACAGUCCCCCUAGCAGUCGUCAUGGAAAUAGCACUUUUAUCCUUGGAACACAACUUAGCCAUCCCAAAAUCGGCGAUUUUGGGAUUGAAUUCGUUGUCAAGCAGGAUAUUCUGUGGUUUGAUAUCAAAAUGGAGGAUUCUUUGAUCGCACCCCUGGUGAAGAUAUUCAAUCCCCUUGGCUAUGCCUAGAGCAACACGAUUCAACCUUUCCCAGCCAAGGAAAUGGUUCCUUGAGUCUGCUGAGGUUAUGAACUUCUGUAAUGAACCAUUUGGCAAGUACUCAUAAACCAGAGCUCGUCUAAAUCCAUCAGCACAGAAACCGAUCAAGCGAACAACAUUGACAUGGUGGAUCCUUGCCAUUGUUCCCACUUCAUUGAUGAAUUCCUCCCCUUUUCCUAUGGAAUUAUUGAGGAGCUUCACAGCUACAGCAAUUUCAUUGGUCAGCUUUCCUUUGAACACGGUUCCAUAAGCUCCUUGGCCCAAUUCAUCACUGAAUUGAUUUGUGAUCCUCUUGAGAUCAGCGUAGGAGUACCUAGUGGGAUUCAGUGAUCUGUAAUCAUCCAAAAACAUUUCAACCCUGGCUUGAUAUUCUCUUUGUGUUUUAUCGUUGCUAUAGGCGCGGUAGAGUGCAGUAAUCACUAUAGCAAAAAGGAAGAAUCCUAAAAUCACACCUGCAUAUCAACAUUCUGAGUCAGGAAACUCUGUUUUUUGGGAAGUGAUGUAUUGAACCAAGUGUAAAAUUGAGAUGGAGAUUUGAGCAGACUACUAACCAGUAAUCAGUAGCUUUCGCCGCACAUCUGUAAGGGAUUGAAUACUUAUUAGCUUCUCCCUUUGAUGCAAUUGGUAAAAUCAUGAAAGCAACAAAGACGAAAAGAGUUUAAUUUGAAAAAAAGGAAGAAAGAUAGAAAGGCGUACCUUUAGUGUGCUGAAGGUAGCAUUCAGUUUCAGAAGAUCCACAAGUUAGAUUGGACCAAGACAUAGUAAGAACAUAAUUUUCUGCAUGCAACAUACUAUGUGGAAUUCCAUAAAUGUUGUACAUCUUGGUACAAGAUAACAAAUCAGUGUCACUGAUGGUGGUACUUGAUUCAACGGCAUAAACUUCAUGGUUAAAAGCACUCAGACAUGGGAUUUUAUGUGUGAGCCCAGACCUUUUCUCAUUAGAAGAACAGUUGAACAAGGUCCCAUCAUACAGCCAAUCGUUCUUAAUUUGGAAGUGAGAAGCCCCUAAACUGAGGUUUAAACGUUGCCUUAGAAAGCAACCUUGAGGAUCCCUUGCAUAAAUAAGUCGAUGUCUAUAGUCAAUUCUUUCGACGUGGAGACUCAAUCCAGUUGGCAGCUUAAGCAGUGUGUUGUUGUCCUCCGAGCAGGAUAGAUCAAAACCACAGUGGUCUGGUUGUUUGUCCAUGAUGCGGAAAGGAAAUCGGAUGUUAGGGCCACGGUUUCCACAUGAUCCUGUGCAGUUCAAGCUUGCUCCAUGGCCUGCAAGGAAGACAAUGAAAAAGAAGAACAAACACGUAACCAUUUCUGAUGAAUAAUUC
rnacentral:lncRNA from 1 species